rfam:Dipodomys ordii contig_44263, whole genome shotgun sequence.
GGGAAGGUGGCUCAGAGGUAGAGUGCUUGCCUUGCAUGCAUGAGAUCCUGGGUUCAAUUCCUCAGCACCCCA